rnacentral:rRNA from 1 species
CACGUAGGGGGCAAGCGUUGUCCGGAUUUAUUGGGCGUAAAGAGCUCGUAGGUGGUUCGGUAAGUCGGGUGUUAAACCCCCAGGCUCAACCUGGGGACGCCACUCGAUACUGCUGUGACUUGAGUCCGGUAGGGGAGCGUGGAAUUCCUGGUGUAGCGGUGAAAUGCGUAGAUAUCUGGAGGAACACCGGUGGCGAAGGCGGCGUUCUGGACUGUAACUGACACUGAUGAACGAAAGCCAGGGGAGCAAACGGG